CGUAGGCAGCAAGCGUUGUUCGGAGUUACUGGGCGUAAAGGGUGUGUAGGCGGUUCUUUAAGUUUGGUGUGAAAUCUCCCGGCUCAACCGGGAGGGUGCGCCGAAUACUGAGGGACUAGAGUGUGGGAGAGGAAAGUGGAAUUCCUGGUGUAGCGGUGAAAUGCGUAGAUAUCAGGAGGAACACCGGUGGUGUAGACGGCUUUCUGGACCAUAACUGACGCUGAGACACGAAAGCGUGGGUAGCAAACAGG
rnacentral:rRNA from 1 species